UAAAUAUCGAAUUUGAUACUCAAAAAUAAAUAUCGACUAUUGAUACUUCAACAUAAAAAAAAUCGACGAUAUUUAUGAAUUAUUUUUUGAAAAAAUAUCGAUAGUAUAAAAUAUCGAUAUUUUAUGGCCUAUCAGUUAGUCGGAACACUAUCCUCUUAUUAUAUAUAUUAUCAUCACAUAGAAUAUGUGAUAUUCAUUUUGAACCAAUUUGUAGAAACCCCAAUGGCAGGUUAAAAAAAGUUUCACUGCCUACUCUACAUUUACCUGGUAAACACUUAUAUUUACUGUGACAAUAAACCUCUUAUGAAUCAUAGCGAAAAGUUAUGCAGAGGAAAAGAAUUGCUAUUUUUGUUUGUAGGUUACGAAAAAGGUGAAAAUGAUAUUUUUUUGGUACAUUUUCAACUCCAAAAAAACUGAGAGGUAGGUAUGAAUUGUAAUAUAUUAUUUCCACAAAAAUCUGCCUGUUAAUUCUUCUAGUCAUGUAAUCAAGAUGCUAAACUGUUUGAAUCAUUGUUCAUUUUGGAUAUAGGCAUAACUCAACCAUUUAUGACAAUUAUAAGCAGGUAGUUAUUUAAAAACAAAGAGAAAUGGAUUGAUGAGUUUAACAUCUGGGGAACAGGCUUCAUGUUUUUAUUUCAUAUUAAUAACUAAAAGGAUUAUUCAUUAAUAUUCAAUUACAAUUUAGAAUCAAUUGCAAGGACUAGUUCCUCUAUCAGCACCUUUACUGGUAACAGCCCAAUAGAGGGAACAAAAAAACCUGUUAAGGUGUACACAAGGAAGCGAUUAUUUCAAGCCCUCGUUGAAAAACCUUGUAAGUAUGAAUUCAAAAAGGCAAUAUUUUUAUAUAUAAUUGUAAUAGUUGUAGUCACAACUAUUGACACUGUCCAUAUAAUAAAUUUGAAUAGAACCCGAGUCAAAUUUUUUGUUUGUGGAUAUAGUUAUAAAAUGUAAAAACAAAAUAAAAAAUAUAAUAAUUAUCCUGUGUUUCAAUAUUCCAUCUACCUAUAUCUUAUAUAAACCAUUUAAUUGUGAAAUUUAGAUGGUGGGACCUGGUUGUCACAUAAAUUGUAAAUGAAACCAAAAUAUUUUACAAAAUACUUCAUUUUAAUUUCAGGUAUUUAUAUUUUCUUGUAAACAACAAUAUUUGUAUUUGAAUGUUAGCAAAAUGAAAAUAUUUUGCAUAAUACUUUUGUUUCAUUCACAAUAGACACCCUAAGUCUUGACGUCACAGAGACGGGCGGAGCUUAUACAGACUCCAAACAUAUCGUUGAUAAUGGUAAAUGCCCAUAAGCAAUUUUUCAUUUAGUGUUUUCGUGGUGAUAAAAUAAGACUUUUCAGUUGAAUAUAUUGUUGAAGGAACGUACUAUUUAAGAGGUUUUUAUUAGUUUUUCACAAUGUGAGUUAAUUUAACAUAUUAGUUCUGCUUUAAAACUAAUUAAUUUUUAGGUUUUUAAGAUUUAGGACUGCUUCAGAAUGGAUAUGUGUUUUUUUCCAAAAUGUAAACAUUAUAGUUCAAAACAUCCAUGUAAAUUUUUUCGGUUCCCAAAAAACAAGACCGAGAGGAAUAGAUGGAUUUCUCUCAUAAGAAGAAAGAUAGAGAUUCAAGUGAAUUUGCAAAAGUGUGCGCUUGUCACUUUUUAAAUAAAGAAAAAAAGAAUGGGCCAACUUAAUUUGAUUUCAAUAUUCAAACAAGAGUUUGAUAUAAAAUCACCAGAAAAAAGAAAGCGAACUGUAAAAAACCUUGUGACCGACCUACUACCAGGACCUUCAACAGAAUCACUACCAGGUCCUUCAGGUGAGCCACUUACAGGACCUUCAACUGAGCCACUACCAGGAUAAUUUUGAGUUUUAAAUAUUUUUUAUUGCAGCAAUAUAUUUCCUUAUUCGACUUUUUUUUGUAAAAAUUUUUAUUUAAAAAAUGUAUAUUUAGAUUUUACUUAAUUUAUAAAUGACUUGAUGUAAUAUAAUUAUUGUUAAAAGUAAUAA